GGUGCACUUAAAGUGUGGCGUUCAGAGCAGGAGGCUGAUGGCCUUGCUCUAUUCCCACCACUCUUAGGUCACUAGGCCAAGUUUAACGGAAAUGGAUGGCCCUUCUAAAUGGGUGGUAAUCUGAGGACUUUCACUGACUGCCACUAGGGGAAGCGCUGGCCCAGCUUCCGCCUGAGGGUCCGAGGAUAAGUGCAUGGUGCCCUGGGAAAAAUGAACCCCAGCGAAGAGGAAUAAAGACAAGGUGGUGGUGGGGCCGGGGGAAGAAAUGUCAGUGGAUGCCCGGGACUCCAAGGCGCGUGCAGAACCCGCUGGCAGUGACUGAGGGGUUCAUGGCCAAGACAUCUCUGGGCACAGCUAGCAGCCUCUCAGAGGAAGCCUGGACUCUGCAGGUGGGUGAUCUCCCUGCCUUAUCCAAAUUCCCAAAACCCGAGUGAGCAGAGAUGUUCACGGAAGCCAUCGAAAAACCCCAGAAUUUUUGUGAUG
rnacentral:lncRNA from 1 species